rnacentral:rRNA from 1 species
CUCAGGAUGAACGCUGGCGGCGUGCCUAAUACAUGCAAGUCGAACGAAUCUUCUUCGGAAGAUGAGUGGCGAACGGGUGAGUAAUACAUAGGUAACCUGCCCCUGUGCGGGGGAUAACAGGAGGAAACUCCUGCUAAUACCGCAUAGCCAUGAGCACCGCAUGGAGCUCAUGCCAAAUAUCCUUUACGGGAUAGCGCAGGGAUGGACCUAUGGCGCAUUAGCUAGUUGGCGGGGCAACGGCCCACCAAGGCAACGAUGCGUAGCCGGCCUGAGAGGGCGGACGGCCACAUUGGGACUGAGACACGGCCCAGACUCCUACGGGAGGCAGCAGUAGGGAAUUUUCGGCAAUGGGGGAAACCCUGACCGAGCAACGCCGCGUGAGCGAAGAAGGCCUUCGGGUCGUAAAGCUCUGUUGUAAAGGAAGAACGUCGCAUGCAGGAAAUGGUGUGCGAGUGACGGUACUUUACCAGAAAGCCACGGCUAACUACGUGCCAGCAGCCGCGGUAAUACGUAGGUGGCGAGCGUUAUCCGGAAUCAUUGGGCGUAAAGAGGGAGCAGGCGGCCGCAAGGGUCUGUGGUGAAAGACCGAAGCUAAACUUCGGUAAGCCAUGGAAACCGGGCGGCUAGAGUGCGGAAGAGGAUCGUGGAAUUCCAUGUGUAGCGGUGAAAUGCGUAGAUAUAUGGAGGAACACCAGUGGCGAAGGCGACGGUCUGGGCCGCAACUGACGCUCAUUCCCGAAAGCGUGGGGAGCAAAUAGGAUUAGAUACCCUAGUAGUCCACGCCGUAAACGAUGGUCACUAAGUGUCGGGGGUCAAACCCCGGUGCUGCAGUCAACGCAAUAAGUGACCCGCCUGAGUAGUACGUUCGCAAGAAUGAAACUCAAAGGAAUUGACGGAAGGGCGAAUUC